GAGGGCGUAGCUCAGUCGGUAGAGCAGCGGCCUUUUAAGCCGUAGGUCCGGGGUUCGAGUCCCCGCGCCCUCA
rnacentral:tRNA from 1 species